UAGGUUGUGGCUCAGUGGUAGAGCAUUUGCCUAGAAUGCAUGAGGCACUAGGUUCAAGUCUCAGUCACAUAA
rnacentral:tRNA from 1 species